AAUAAAAGAUUUAGGACUCAGAAUAUGGAACUUAAUUUCAUUAAACUAACCACCAGUUGUACCGAUCCCAUAUGACAUAUACAACCUAUGGUUCACAUGUCCAUGGACUUUUGCGUCUGAUCUAGUACCACAUUAUUUGCCAGUUUUCCACCAGAACUAUAUAUUUUUCUACAAAUUUUUGUUUUAUAUAGAAGGCCUAUAAUCUCUGGUCAGCUAAUCAAAACAAAUUAGCGAAAAAAAAUCCAACCGAACAAGAAAAAUAAAUGUCAUUGAUUUGUCUAUUCUGAAUUUCUUAUAAAUUGGCCCGUAAUUUGCCCCACCACAUGCGGCCUUAAUUGGAUAACAGUAACAGCAUUGUUGUAUUGCUCUUCGUUGCACGUUUGUAUUUUUUCCUGUGCAGCCGUGCUUCUUUUGUUUCUUUUCCCAACCCAAUAAUUUGUCUGUAACUAUCCUCUGCAAACAAACGCAUUUGAAUAAAAUAUAUAUAUUUAUAUGUAUUUAUUGUAUUAUUAAUAUAUAUAUAUGUGUUCAUACUUUGCAUUUUCUAUGGUUCUCUGAAGGAGCAAAAGCCAGCCAUUCAUAAUGCAUGCAUUGCUCGUCGACGUUGACAAAGGCACGCGUUAGACUAUGCACCUGUUAUCCCAUAUUCUCUUUUCUUUUUGUAGGUGAGAAUAGGUUUGGCUGGCUCCUUGGGAUUGAGGAGUUCUUUCUAAAUUUACUUAGUGAUCCCCUUACAAAACUUUG
rnacentral:lncRNA from 1 species